rnacentral:rRNA from 1 species
CGGAGGGUGCAAGCGUUACUCGGAAUCACUGGGCGUAAAGCGCGCGCAGGCGGCCUUGUAAGUUGGAUGUGAAAGCCUACGGCUCAACCGUAGAACUGCAUCCAAAGCUACUCGGCUAGAGUGUGGGAGGGGAAGAUGGAAUUAGUUGUGUAGGGGUAAAAUCCGUAGAGAUAACUAGGAAUACCAAAAGCGAAGGCAAUCUUCUGGAACACUACUGACGCUGAGGCGCGAAAGCGUGGGGAGCAAACAGGAUUAGAUACCCUGGUAGUCCACGCCCUAAACUAUGAAUGUUAGUCGUCGGGAGGCUCGUCCUUUCGGUGAUGCAGCUAACGCAUUAAACAUUCCGCCUGGGGAGUNCGGUCGCAAGAUUAAAACUCNAAGGGAAUAGACGGGGACCCCGCACAAGUGGUGGAGCAUGUGGUUUAAUUCAAGAUACCGAAGAACCUUACCUACCUUGACAUUGAUAAAUCCGGUAAAUACUGGAUGCCCUUCCGGACUUGAACAGGUGCUGC